UUCCAUCCGUGUAGAAAGAUAUCCUGGAUUUGAAUAUUUCAUUCAGUUUAGUGUGUCAGAGUGGAGGAAAGGAAAAGAGAACUUCACAACCCCGCCUAUGCCGGUGCCUCCGCACAGGUGAAACAGGUGGUUUCGUGCCGGGCGAGAGGGGGGUCGUGGGUUUCCGGUUGGCCCCGGAAGUGCUUGUAAAUUUAAACAAAGCUCGAGGGCUCUUGCACAGUCGUGGGGGUUUGGAAUCUCUUCCUGUCGAAGAUAGAGAGGGGGGGGGGAGGUUUCAUAUAGAAACACACCCACCUGCAUUCAUGUACUGGGGUUUUUCCUUUCUAAAAUCGCGAUUUGUUUUAUUUUUUUCAAUUUGGGUGUUUUUACAUCCGUGAGUUUUUAAACGAGAUAAAAAGGGCAGAAACUCUAAUACACGCAGAUUUCAUGCCACGACCGUGAUUGUAAACGAAAAGCAAACAAGUCAACAAUGUAUUAGGAACGCAGCAAACUUCCAGCAAGAAUAAACCAUUUUCUCAUCCUUUGACAAAUGUGA